AGAUAUGUUUAAUGUUUUAAUUUUUGCACGACGAUGCGAAGCAUCAGAGAGUGCUUUACGAUCGAAAAAUUUUUUUCGCCUCAUUUUUGCAGCUAUUCUUAUUAUUAUAGCCUUGUUAGUUCACGGAAUCAAGAUAUUUUGCAUACUAUUAUCGAGAUAAUUUAAUGGAGAUUAAUCCCAUACUUUUUAAAAAUUGAUUUACUUCAAUAGAAUUGGAAAAAAACACCGAAAUAGGUCAAAAAAUUUUCCUGUCCGUCAUGUGUGAAACCUGAAAACACUAUAACUUGUGAAAAAAUCCAUCAUUUGAGUUAAAUUUUUUUUUUAAAUAUUCUAAUCGACGAUU